AUUCCAAUCGAACUCGGAGAUAGCUGGUUCUCCCCGAAAUAGCUUUAGGGCUAGCCUCGAUUUAGAUUACCGGGGGUAGAGCACUGAAUGGGCUAGGGGGCCACAAAGCUUACCGAACCCUAUCAAACUUCGAAUACCGGAUAAUUGAUGAUCGGGAGUCAGACAGUGUGAGAUAAGUUUCAUUGUCGAAAGGGAAACAGCCCAGAUCUACGACUAAGGUCCCAAAGUUCAAGUUAAGUGGAAAAGGAUGUGCAAUUGCGUAGACAACCAGGAUGUUGGCUUAGUAGCAGCCAUUCAUUCAAAGAGUGCGUAAUAGCUCACUGGUCGAGUGAUUGUGCGCCGAAAAUGUAACGGGGCUAAACUUGACACCGAAGUCUAGGCAGAAGGAAACUUCUGGGUAGGGGAGCAACGUGUACGGGCAGAAGCAGAAGCGGAAGCGACUGUGGACUGUACAGGAGAGAGAAUGCCGGCAUGAGUAGCGAGAGCAAAGUGAGAAUCUUUGCCGUCGAAAGCCUAAGGUUUCCUGAGGAAGGCUCGUCCUCUCAGGGUAAGUCGGGACCUAAGCCGAGGACAACAGUCGUAGGCGAUGGACAAUCGGUUAAUAUUCCGAUACCGCCGAGCAACCGGAUGCAGUGACACAGAAGGAUAGGCAGAGCGUGGCGAUGGUAGACCACGUCCAAGCAGUGAGGCUGUUGUGUAGUGAAGUACGCACAACGGAAGGCUGGGCUGUGAUGGGGAACGAUUACGAUCGGUAAGCUGCUGAAUUCACGCUGGCGAGAAAAGCUGCUACGAAGCGAAGGCGCCCGUACCGCAAACCGACACAGGUAGGCGAGGAGAGAAUCCUAAGACGAGCGGGAGAACCCUUGUUAAGGAACUCGGCAAAAUGACUCCGUAACUUAGGGAGAAGGAGUGCCCAGGAAUGGGCCGCAGAGAAUAGACCCAAGCGACUGUUUACCAAAAACACAGGUCUGUGCGAAGUAGAGAUACGACGUAUACGGGCUGACACCUGCCCAGUGCCGGAAGGUUAAGGGGAAAUGUUAGGGCAACCGAAGCAUGGAACUUAAGCCCCGGUGAACGGCGGCCGUAACUAUAACGGUCCUAAGGUAGCGAAAUUCCUUGUCGGGUAAG
rnacentral:rRNA from 1 species